CUACGGGGCGCUCCAGUGGGGAAUAUUGCACAAUGGAGGAAACUCUGAUGCAGCAACGCCGCGUGGAGGAUGACACUUUUCGGAGCGUAAACUCCUUUUAUAUAGGAAGAAGAUGACGGUACUAUAUGAAUAAGCGCCGGCUAACUCCGUGCCAGCAGCCGCGGUAAUACGGAGGGCGCAAGCGUUACUCGGAAUCACUGGGCGUAAAGAGCGUGUAGGCGGAUUGAAAAGUCAGAAGUGAAAUCCUAUAGCUUAACUAUAGAACUGCUUCUGAAACUCUUAAUCUAGAAUAUGGGAGAGGUAGAUGGAAUUUCUGGUGUAGGGGUAAAAUCCGUAGAGAUCGGAAGGAAUACCGAUUGCGAAGGCGAUCUACUAGAACAUUAUUGACGCUGAGACGCGAAAGCGUGGGGAGCAAACAGGAUUAGAUACCCGGGUAGUC
rnacentral:rRNA from 1 species